UGGGUGACUGCGUACCUUUUGUAUAAUGGGUCAGCGACUUAUAUUCUGUAGCGAGGUUAACCAUUUAGGGGAGCCGUAGCGAAAGCGAGUCUUAACUGGGCGCUUAAGUUGCAGGGUAUAGACCCGAAACCCGGUGAUCUAGCCAUGGGCAGGUUGAAGGUUGAGUAACAUCAACUGGAGGACCGAACCCACUAACGUUGAAAAGUUAGGGGAUGACCUGUGGCUAGGAGUGAAAGGCUAAUCAAACCGGGAGAUAGCUGGUUCUCCCCGAAAUCUAUUUAGGUAGAGCCUCGGACGAAUACUUACGGGGGUAGAGCACUGUUAAGGCUAGGGGGUCAUCCCGACUUACCAACCCUUUGCAAACUCCGAAUACCGUAAAGUACUAUCCGGGAGACACACGGCGGGUGCUAACGUCCGUCGUGGAGAGGGAAACAACCCAGACCGUCAGCUAAGGUCCCAAAGUGUAUGUUAAGUGGGAAACGAUGUGGGAAGGCUAAAACAGCUAGGAGGUUGGCUUAGAAGCAGCCACCCUUUAAAGAAAGCGUAAUAGCUCACUAGUCGAGUCGGCCUGCGCGGAAGAUGUAACGGGGCUAAACAUACCACCGAAGCUACGGCUGCGAAUUUAUUCGCGGGGUAGGGGAGCG
rnacentral:rRNA from 1 species